UACAGAGGGUGUGAGCGUUGUUCGGAAUUACUGGGCGUAAAGGGCGCGUAGGCGGCCUGUUAAGUCGAACGUGAAAUCCCCGGGCUCAACCCGGGAACUGCGUCCGAUACUGGCAGGCUUGAAUCCGGGAGAGGGAUGCGGAAUUCCAGGUGUAGCGGUGAAAUGCGUAGAUAUCUGGAGGAACACCGGUGGCGAAGGCGGCAUCCUGGACCGGCAUUGACGCUGAGGCGCGAAAGCCAGGGGAGCAAACGGG
rnacentral:rRNA from 1 species